rnacentral:lncRNA from 1 species
AUGGUUAUUCUGCCCCCAAAGCCAGUACCGCUCUCGGGACAUAAACCAUGGUCUGGAGGGCAUGGCACUACAGAAGGGGAAGCAGGCACCACAGCAGUCCUAUUUCCCCACCCCACACAGGUAGGUGGCAGAGGUUGUGGAGCGGGCAGAGCCCUGCUACUACCUCCACAGCAAGCCCAUUGACAUUGCUAAACUGCCACAUGGGGAAGCAUAUGCAAUGCUAGUUAUAGAUCAGCACAGUUCACACCCUCAAGAGCAGUGGAAAGAUCAUUCAUGAGUCCUUGAAUUACAAUUUACUUGCCAGUUUGCUCCAGAGGGAGUACAACACCACACUACCUCUUACCCUGGUCAGAUCAUAAUGUCCCAAUCUAAUUCUCAGUAAUUAAGUUAUGGAUGUAAAUGGUGGUGGUGUGUGUGUGUGUGCGUGCGAAUGCAUAGAGAUUGUAGAAUUAUGCUAUCCUAAAGGAAUUAUAGUAACUUUUAAAUGUAGUUAGUGGCUUCUAUAUAUAUUUAACAUCUCAAACUGAUGUUGAUAAUUUCGACUGUCUCUAUUAGACUAAAAAAGAUUUACUAUUGAAUUACAAUUUUUGGUGGGAGUCUCUUUCAGAAUAUGUAAGAUCCAGUGUUCCAGUUAUAGGGUUGUGUAACACAUAUACAAUAGUUAAAAACGGUGCACCAACAUCAACAAAUAAGACUCCUCCCCCCACCAAAAGUAAAUGCAAACAACUGGAGAAAAAAUCUGAUUGGGGAUGGAAUUUGCAUUGUAACCCCUUUUGCAACAUCUCCUCUAUUCCUAUGUAGGUAGAAAUCUGGACAUGAUUCAAUUCAUUCAAAUUUCCCUGCUGCUUUUUUUGUAUGGCAAGACCGAUUAGCUACAUUCAGAUAACCAAAUCCAGAUUAGUGAGCUAAAGUGGGUAUGUUCUGGAGUGGCUUGAUGUAUGUCUUAGAUGCCACCAGCAAAUGAUCUAGGCUGGCCCUGAUUUACAAUGCGGUCCAUAGUUUGCAACUGGUGUCAGCAUCUGGGGGAAACACAAGCUCCAGGUGGUGCUCCUUUGACAUGUUAUUGACUAGCUGAGUGAAUGUUGUCAGUACACUACCAGACAUCAAUGUGUCAGUUCCCUGGUCUGAUUAGCAACAUGAAAUUCUGGUGCUAAAACACUGAGAUACCUUUGGAUGUUCGUAC